rnacentral:rRNA from 1 species
GAUCAUGGCUCAGGACGAACGCUGGCGGCGUGCCUAAUACAUGCAAGUAGAACGCUGAAGAGAAAAGCUUGCUCUUCUUGGAUGAGUUGCGAACGGGUGAGUAACGCGUAGGUAACCUGCCUUGUAGCGGGGGAUAACUAUUGGAAACGAUAGCUAAUACCGCAUAACAAUGGAUGACACAUGUCAUUUAUUUGAAAGGGGCAAUUGCUCCACUACAAGAUGGACCUGCGUUGUA